GUGCUCACUCUGGCAGCAUGUAUACUAAAAUCAGCACAGAGAAGAUGAGAACAGCCCCUGCCCAAGGAUGACAAGUGAAUUCAUGAAGCUUUAAAAACAAAG